GACGAACGCUGGCGGCGUGCUUAACACAUGCAAGUCGAACGGAAAGGCCCUGCUUUUGUGGGGUGCUCGAGUGGCGAACGGGUGAGUAACACGUGAGUAACCUGCCCUUGACUUUGGGAUAACUUCAGGAAACUGGGGCUAAUACCGGGUAGGAGCUCCUGCUGCAUGGUGGGGGUUGGAAAGUUUCGGCGGUUGGGGAUGGACUCGCGGCUUAUCAGCUUGUUGGUGGGGUAGUGGCUUACCAAGGCUUUGACGGGUAGCCGGCAUGAGAGGGUGACCGGGCACAAUGGGCCUGCGGUAGGGCGCAGUAUCGUAUGGGAGGCAGUAGGCGAGAACUUUGCAGAGUGACGGGACGUCUGUUACGAAGACGCCGCGUGCGGGAUGAUCGCCUACGGGUUGUAAACCGAUGUCGAAGGUGACAUAGAGUGCGUGACGGUAAUGGAUCAAGAAGCACCGGCUAACUACGUG
rnacentral:rRNA from 1 species